CUUUCUAAUUUCGAGCAAUAAUAUUCGAAUAUAGAAUAGAGUUGACAUCGUAUGUGGAAGUAGGAGGCAUUGCGAAACAAGUAAGCAGAAAUNNNNNNNNNNNNNNNNNNNNCAAACAAGUACCGUGAGGGAAAGUUGCAAAGAACGUUUGAAGAGAGAGUUCAAGAGAACGUGAAAUCGCUGAAGUGGAACCGGAGAGAGUUAACAUAACUUGGUAGCUAUAUCCUCUAAAGUCGCUUAACUGUGGCUCUGGGGGGUGGACGCUACCUGUUGUUGCACUGACUGCGUUGAUUGUGCUUUCCGAACAGUAUAGUGUUGCCCACUUUGUGGUGUCUUGCUUUCUGGGAGGUUUGUCAUAAUUAACGUAAAGCCAAUUCCCUUUGGAGUCAGUGUGAAAGUUAACCACCUUUCCGACCCGUCUUGAAACACGGACCGAGGAGUGUAAUUUAUACGCGAGUCAAGGGGUGGUGAAAACCCUAGGGGCGGAAUGAAAGUAAAGGCCGGUUAACCGGUUGACAUGGGAUCCGCUCUUCGGAGCGGCGCACCAUGGCCCUGUCUUGUCUGCUUGCAGAUGGGCAGCGGUAGAGCGUAUAGUUUGCGACCCGAAAGAUGGUGAACUAUGCUUGAGCAGGACGAAGCCAGAGGAAACUCUGGUGGAAGUCCGUAUCGGUUCUGACGUGCAAAUCGAUCGAUAGACUUGGGUAUAGGGGCGAAAGCUAAUCGAACCGUCUAGUAGCUGGUUCCCUCCGAAGUUUCCCCCAGGAUAGCUGGAGUAGUGGUGCGUGGUUAUAUCCGGUAAAGCGAAUGAUUAGAGGACUUGGGGGCGAAACGAUCUCAACCUAUUCUCAAACUUUCAAUGGGUAUGAUGUCUCGGUUUCUUUAUUGAACUGUUGACAUGAACGUGUGCUCCAAGUGGGCCAUUUUUGGUAAGCAGAACUGGCGCUGUGGGAUGAACCAAACGCUGGGUUAAGGUGCCUAACUUUUCUCUCAUGAGACCCCAUAAAAGGCGUUGGUUGAUAUAGACAGCAGGACGGUGGCCAUGGAAGUCGGUACCCGCUAAGGAGUGUGUAACAACUCACCUGCCGAAUCAACUAGCCCUGAAAAUGGAUGGCGCUUGAGCGAAAGACCUAUACCCGGCCGUUACUGGCUUGUGCGAUGGCUAACGCCUGGCCGUAACGAGUAGGAGGGUCGUGGUGGUUGCGUUGAAGGCUUAGGGCGNNNNNNNNNNNNNNNNNNNNAACUUGUACAAAUAAAUAGCGACUAGACUGGACGU
rnacentral:ncRNA from 1 species